rnacentral:tRNA from 1 species
UGGCUCAGUUGGUAUAUCAUGGUGCUUGUAACGCCAAGGUUGUGGGUUCGAUUCCCAC